UGCAUGGUGUUGUGAGCAGACCGCGGGCCU
rnacentral:piRNA from 1 species